AGCGAACGCUGGCGGCAGGCUUAACACAUGCAAGUCGAGCGGGCGUAGCAAUACGUCAGCGGCAGACGGGUGAGUAACGCGUGGGAACGUACCUUUUGGUUCGGAACAACACAGGGAAACUUGUGCUAAUACCGGAUAAGCCCUUACGGGGAAAGAUUUAUCGCCGAAAGAUCGGCCCGCGUCUGAUUAGCUAGUUGGUGAGGUAACGGCUCACCAAGGCGACGAUCAGUAGCUGGUCUGAGAGGAUGAUCAGCCACAUUGGGACUGAGACACGGCCCAAACUCCUACGGGAGGCAGCAGUGGGGAAUAUUGGACAAUGGGGGCAACCCUGAUCCAGCCAUGCCGCGUGAGUGAUGAAGGCCCUAGGGUUGUAAAGCUCUUUUGUGCGGGAAGAUAAUGACGGUACCGCAAGAAUAAGCCCCGGCUAACUUCGUGCCAGCAGCCGCGGUAAGGUGACGCUCU
rnacentral:rRNA from 1 species